rnacentral:tRNA from 1 species
GCCUCUCUAGCUCAAUUGGUAGAGCAGUUGACUCUUAAUCAAUUGGUUCGGGGUUCAAGUCCCCGGAGGGGUACCA